ensembl:lncRNA
GCUCAUUGCGGUUGUGUACAGACCUCCUGACUACAGUUUGGCACCGUUCAUGCAAAACCUGGUAAGUCUUUUAGAUUCACUUGAAAUAAUGGACUGUCACCCAAUAAUUGUGUGUGGAGAUUUUAAUGAGAACCAGUUACAGAGUGGAAGAAAACAGAUUCUGGAGCAGUUUCAGUCGAGAGGGUAUUCACAGCUGAUCACUUCUGCCACGACAGACAAGAACACCCUGCUUGACCUCAUUUUUAUUUCUCAGCCACAGCAAAGUCUCUAUUCAGGUGUCCUGAGAACAUAUUACAGUUACCACAACCCUGUAUUUUGUGUCCUGUCCUCCAGCCAAUCAUGAAGUCAUCUGAUGUAUUGUUUCAGACAGGGCACACAGUCCUGUUUCCUUUGUGGGAAAACCUUCAAGCUUCACCAUCCUCAGCUGAAACAACAACAUCUUAACACCAUCUUCAUGAACUGCUGAGCCAAACCUGAUCCAUCAGUGCUGGACUGCACAGAUAACUACAUGCCACAAGGAGACUGCUGUUUCAUGAACUGCCUUACCAGUGUGUCUUCAAUGGAGAAGAUGACACACCCAUCACCUGACCUCCUGCCUGAUCUGGAGACCAUCAUCAUGCUGCCACACUACACACCUCUGAGACCAUCAAUGAUGACUCAUACUGAGGAAACUGUAUUUCCUGUCAGAGAUGCUCAGUGAUCCUCAGAGCAGAGAGAGGUACUGCUGUCUUCUGAGUUCUUCAGUGUCCCAACUGAGACAUUCAAACC